GCAAAAUUGUUCCGCUCAUGCCCUUCGUAGUGUUUCCGAUUAGUCUCUCGCGCUCUCUCUCGCUCGUUGCUUCAUCGUGCCAAAUUCGUUGCUUUCUUCUUCCAAUCGAGGUCAACGGCAAUGGUUCCGCCGCCGCCGGCCGUUCACGGAGGAGGAUCAUCGCCGAACACGCAGUACAUCCAGCAAUUUCUCAGCAGCGUCCUGUCGCAACGGGGCCCCUCGGCUCUGCCCUACACGGAGGAUGUCAAGUGGCUGAUCCGCCAGCAUCUCAUGUCGCUCACCGACGCCUAUCCCAGCCUGCAGCCAAAGACCGCCACCUACACGCACAACGACGGCCGCACAGUCAACCUCCUCCAGGCGGACGGCACUAUCCCGAUGCUCUUCCAGGGCGUCACCUACAACAUCCCCAUCGUGAUCUGGCUAAUGGAGUCCUAUCCCCGCCAUCCGCCUCUUGUCUAUGUCAAUCCGACUCGCGACAUGAUCAUCAAGCGUCCUCACUCCUUCGUCAACCCUUCCGGCCUGGUUUCCACGCCUUAUCUCCAGAAUUGGGUAUACCCUAGCUCGAAUUUGAUGGAUUUGGCCCGAGAUUUGAGCCACUUCUUCGGCCGUGAUCCGCCGCUGUAUUCUCAGCGGAGGCCUCAGAAUCCGAACCCUAACCCUAACCCUAGUAGUCAUAAUUUCGCCACCCCUCCCGCUUCCUUGGGAUCGUCCGCUGGAAUAGCUCGGCCGGCGAUACCGCCGAGAUCAUAUCCUCCACAGUCUCCCUACGGAGGCGUGACUUCGCUGCCUACUCCUCCGCAGCCGCAUAGGCUGGCCGGCACGGAGGACCCGAAUGAGGUUUUUAAAAGAAACGCGAUCAAUAAGCUUGUGGAAAGUUUGCACGGUGAUGUUGGGGCAUUGAGGAAGACAAGGGAGGCGGAGAUGGAGGGGUUGUUUAAUGCGCAGGCAGUGUUGAGGCAGAGACAGGAACAGCUUACCAAAGGGUUGGGGGAGAUGCAGGAUGAGAAGGAAGCUUUGGAGCAGCAGUUGCAGAUGGUUUUGAUGAACAGUGAUAUUUUGGAGGGUUGGUUGAGGGAGAAUGAAGGGAAGAUGGUCAAUAUGAGGAAUGUAGAUGACAUAGAUGCUGCAUUUGAGCCUUGUGAUGCUCUUUCGAAGCAGAUUAUUGAGAGUACUGCCUCUGAUUUGGCAAUAGAGGAUGUUGUUUAUUCUUUGGAUAAGGCAGUGCAAGAAGGGGCUAUGCCAUUUGAUCAAUACUUGAGAAGCAUAAGGCUGUUGUCCCGUGAGCAGUUUUUCCAUCGGGCCAUGGCCACCAAAGUCAGGGCCACGCAGAUGCAGUCUCAGAUUAAUAGUAUGGCUGCUAGGGCAUCUCAAUUUGCAGUUUGAAAAUUCACUUUCUGUGGUGUAUCUCACUGGCUUCAUUUGCAUGGAACCACAGCAAGUACACGCCUAGAUUACGUGGAUCGAGAGACUGGACGGAUGAUUGGCAGGGGGCUUGAGUCUCACGGUGUCUACUAUCUGUCUCUCCCUACUUCUUCAAUGGCGUGCACGACAACAACUUCCCCACUACAAGUCCAUUGUCGAUUGGGGCACCCAUCUCUUUCCAAUCUCAAGAAAAUGGUUCCCAGUCUCUCUAGUAUUUCUUCCUUAGAGUGCGAGUCUUGUCAAUUUGGGAAAUAUAUUCGUAGUUCUUUCACAAGUAGAGUUACUAAACGUGCUAGUUCUCCUUUUUCAGUAGUCCAUUUAGAUGUAUGGGGUCCCAGUCGUGUCAGUUCACAAGACGGUUUUCGUUAUUUUGUAACAUUUAUUGAUGAUUUCUCUCGGACUACAUGGUUAUAUUUAAUGAAAACGCGUUCAGAGUUAUUUU